GACGAACGCUGGCUGCGUGCUUAACACAUGCAAGUCGAACGGAAAGGCCCUUCUUUUUUGCUUUGCUCGAGUUGCGCACGCGUGAGUAACACUUGCGUAUCCUGCCCCUGCCUUUGGGAUAACUUCAAGACACUGGGGCUCAUACCGGUUCGUUGCUCCUUCUUCAUGGUUGGUGUUGUGACGUUUCGGCGGUUGGGGAUGGACUCGCGGCUUUUCAUCUUGUUGGUUUGUUAGUGGCUUACCAAGGCUUUGACGGGUAGCCGGCCUGAGAGGGUGACCGGCAACAUGGGGACUGAGAUACGGCCCAGACUAGUAAGGGAGGCAGCAGUGGGGAAGAUUGCACAAUGGGCGGAAGCAGGAUGCAGCAACGCCGCGUGAGGGAUGACGGACUUCGGGUAUUAAACCGCUUUCGCCUGUGACGAAGCGUGAGUGAAGGUAAUGGGUAAAGAAGCACCGGCUAACUACGUG
rnacentral:rRNA from 1 species